AGGCAGACAGGGCGAGAGGAAAAAUGACCAUUUCGAGAAAAUGGAGAAGAUUGAUACAGUAUGUUUGUGUCUUGUUUUGUCUCAGUGUAUUGUAUUGUCUUUGUGAUGAAAAUAUGGAAGGGGUGUUAAGUAAAUUACUAAGGGAAGAAGGCACCCCAGUGGAACCAAGAAUAGUUAGGGCAUGUGUUGAUAGAAGCCCAGGAACUCUAGUCAGAAAGAAACAGAAAGUUCAGAAGAAGAAAGAUUAUCAGAGGAAAAAGGAUUAUCAGGAAAAAAGUUGCAGCAAAAGGCUAUUACUGAAUACUUUUCGUUACCGGAGGGUGCAUGAAUCGGCGCUGCAUGAAUCGGCGCUGCGGCUGCCACAUGCGCGAGCUGGUCAUGGAGCAGCAAGGGCUUUCCAAACGGCGGCAGCCGGCUCUUCCACUGCUGAGAGCCCAAAUCUAGACCUGACUUGGAGGCACAGUCUCGCAGGCUCUUGCUCCCUGUGCCCAGUAGCAGUUUGAGUCCGGGACUCUCCCCAGGGCCAUCUGGGGCUACCCGGGACGCUACAGCCGCAGAAGACACUACUGGUGUCCCUGAUGUUUGGUCAUUUCCAAGACCAGUAACUACAAUGGUUCUCCCACACCUGGAAGCUAAUGAGUAAUGAGCACUAUUAAUGCUUAUUUCAAAUGCAAAAAAAACCUUGAUAUAAUGUACUAAAUUGUUCAGAAGGUUGUUUUCUUAGCACCUGCUGGAAUACUACAGGAUUUUCUUUAGCCAUCCGGAGUUCCUGCCUUCGUCCCAGUGCCGGUAAGGACCAAGGUGGAAGAAUUCCCAGUGUUGCUGAGAACCGGACUGAGAUUUCAGCUGAGAACCGGACGAGACUUCGGAUCAAGCUAGCUGCCUGCAGAACUUACCUGGACUGUGAUUUAAGCUAGCUGCCUGCAGAACUUACCUGGACUGUGAUUUAAGCUAGCUGCCUGCAGAACUUACCUGGACUGUGAUUUACCUGGACUGUGAGUUAAUCUAUUGAGACACUGCUUUACCUGGACUGAGACAACAAACUGUAAUCUAUAACAAAUUGUAACUCGGUAUCUUUGCUAACAGUGUCAUUGCUGGUAUAAUUUUUCCAAGGGCUUCUUGCAUGGAGCCAUCAAUUGGCUUGGUAUUGUGGCAUUUUGUAUCCUCCCUUUCUGUUUGUAGCAGGUUAUUUAUGGUGUUUCUGUAAAAACCACUAUGGUCGUUAUUUAAAUUAAACAAAAGGGGGAAAUGUUAGAGUCUGUAAACAAGUCAAAAAUAACACCUGGCAUUUUGCCAGGGGAAUGUUAGAGUUCAUAAACAAGUCUGGAUGGUGCCUGGCAAAAUGCCAGAGGGAGUGGUUUGAGAAGUAACAAAAGCGAGCCAUUAAGUGUGGAGAUUCCUUAUUGGUUGACUGAUGUAUCUAGUUUAUGCUAAUUAGAUAAGCUGUGUGGAAUGUAUAAAUACUGCUCCUGUCCUGCAAUAAACGGCUCCCAUUCCUGCUGUAUCAACGUACACAAGUUAUUUGUCACCCCCCGGUUAUUUUGCUGCAGCCGGACUGUGGCAGAUGGUGGCCCGUUACGGGGAGCCCCGGGACACUUGGGGGUAAGUGACGAAAAAAAGCUGCCCGUCCAUAGAUAGGAAGGGAGCAAAUCUGCUCGUCCCUAGGCAGAUAGGGCGAGAGGAAAAAUGGCCAUUUCAAGAAAAUGGAGAAGAUUGAUGCAGUAUGUUUGUGUCUUGUUUUGUCUCAGUGUAUUGUAUUGUCUUUAUGAUGAAAAUAUGGAAGGGGUGAGAAGUAAAUUACUAAGGGAAGAAGGCACCCCAGUGGAACCAAGAAUAGUUAGGGCAUGUGUUGAUGGAAGCCCAGGAACUCUAGUCAGAAAGAAAAAGAAAGUUCAGAAGAAGAAAGAUUAUCAGGAAAAAAGUUGCAGCGAAAGGCUAUUACUAAAUACUUUUCAUUACCGGAGGGUGUGUGAAGCGGAGAGGCGGCUUCCGAGUGUGCAAGCCGGUCACAGCGCAGCAAGGAUUUUCCAAGAGGCGGCAGUGACUGGCCCUUCCCCGCCUCCUGGCUGGGGAGCUGGCUCUUCCACUGCCGCGAGCCCAAAUCUAGACCUGACCUGGAGGCACAGUCUCGCAGGCUCUUGCUCCC
rnacentral:lncRNA from 1 species